AGACACUGGAACUCUUGCUAUCUGGGCUGUGACUGAAGCACAAAGUCCAAGGAUAGAAGAUGGAGGAAGUGCAGGCUUCCACCAUGUCAUAGACUCAAGGUUAUAGGUGCUAUUGAUGAGUGUUCGCUUGGGAAGUAUCUGGAUAUCAGGACCCAGAUUGCCAUGCCAAGUUCUUCUGCUCCAUCAAGCCCUAACUAGGACCCAGUCUCUUGAAUUGGAGGCCAGAGAAGAGACUGAUGCCAGUAUUCUGGUUUUCAGGUGAGAGGAAGCUGGACUUCAGGCUUUUACUUAAAACUCCUGUUCAGUUCAGCUGUGGACCAUGGUCUCCUACUUGUGCCUGUGUCUUUGUGCUCAGGGCCUUUUUGGUUCUGUUGCUGUAGAGACCCAUGCUGUCUAAUGCAGUAACCCUUUGCUAUGUGUGGCCAUGGAGCACUUGAAAUGUUGCUGGUCAGCACGGAAAUGUGCUCUGAGGGUAAAAUAUAUACCAG
rnacentral:lncRNA from 12 species